rnacentral:rRNA from 1 species
UGGGGAAUAUUGGACAAUGGGGGGAACCCUGAUCCAGCCAUGCCGCGUGUGUGAAGAAGGUCUUCGGAUUGUAAAGCACUUUAAGUUGGGAGGAAGGGCAGUUACCUAAUACGUGAUUGUUUUGACGUUACCGACAGAAUAAGCACCGGCUAACUCUGUGCCAGCAGCCGCGGUAAUACAGAGGGUGCAAGCGUUAAUCGGAAUUACUGGGCGUAAAGCGCGCGUAGGUGGUUAGUUAAGUUGGAUGUGAAAUCCCCGGGCUCAACCUGGGAACUGCAUUCAAAACUGACUGACUAGAGUAUGGUAGAGGGUGGUGGAAUUUCCUGUGUAGCGGUGAAAUGCGUAGAUAUAGGAAGGAACACCAGUGGCGAAGGCGACCACCUGGACUGAUACUGACACUGAGGUGCGAAAGCGUGGGGAGCAAACAGGAUUAGAUACCCCUGUAGUCCCUGAGCGGGCUGGCAAGGCGCAU